rnacentral:rRNA from 1 species
UGAGGAAUAUUGGUCAAUGGGCGAGAGCCUGAACCAGCCAAGUCGCGUGAGGGAAUAAGGCCCUACGGGUCGUAAACCUCUUUUGCCGGGGAGCAAGUCGGGGCUCGUGAGCCCUGAUGGAGAGUACCCGGAGAAAAAGCAUCGGCUAACUCCGUGCCAGCAGCCGCGGUAAUACGGAGGAUGCGAGCGUUAUCCGGAUUUAUUGGGUUUAAAGGGUGCGUAGGCGGGCUGGCAAGUCGGCGGUCAAAUGUCGGGGCUCAACCCCGGCCUGCCGUCGAAACUGCCGGCCUUGAGUGAGCGAGAAGCAGGCGGAACGCGUGGUGUAGCGGUGAAAUGCAUAGAUAUCACGCAGAACCCCGAUUGCGAAGGCAGCCUGCCGGCGCUCAACUGACGCUGAGGCACGAAAGUGCGGGGAUCGAACAGGAUUAGAUACCC